GGAAUAAAGAGCUCUUGCUGAAGGAUUAGUGAGUGUCUUAGUCUGUUCAGGCAGCCCAGAUCCUUAGUGUGCCUCAGCUUUGGCCACCAACUGAAGAGGUUAGAUGACUUUACUUUAAAGCUCUACAUGGUCCUAAACCUCACCAGUUCCCAUUGAAAACUGACCAUUUUGCCAAAGGAGGAAUACAAUGUCCAACAGGCACAUGAAAAGUUGUUCAACAUCACUAAUCAUCAAGAAAUACAGAUCAAAACCACAAUGAGAUAUCACCUCUUACCAGCACUCCAUCCAGUCCAAAUGAUUACCUGGCUCACGCUAACACACUCUGUGCCUGCUGACUUAAGGCCCUUGAUCUGUAAUAGAAUUGAUUUGAUUUCUUUGAUAUCUGCAGACCACUGACCUUGGGAAUGAAGGACCAGAAUGUCCCCAGGCCGCAAAGGCCAGGAAGUCUAUUUGAAGCCACCUCAACUUUCUGAUCGCCCAGCAAUCUCAGGAUCAAAAGCUUCUGCACAGCAAAGGAAACAGCCAACAAAGCAAAGAGGCAACCCACGGAAUGGGAGAAGGUAUUUGCAAAUGACAGUACAGACAAAGGUUGAUAUCCA
rnacentral:lncRNA from 1 species